ACGUACACUCCUGCGGGAGGCAGCAGUGGGGAAUAUUGGACAAUGGGCGCAAGCCUGAUCCAGCCAUGCCGCGUGAGUGAUGAAGGCCCUAGGGUUGUAAAGCUCUUUCACCGGUGAAGAUAAUGACGGUAACCGGAGAAGAAGCCCCGGCUAACUUCGUGCCAGCAGCCGCGGUAAUACGAAGGGGGCUAGCGUUGUUCGGAUUUACUGGGCGUAAAGCGCACGUAGGCGGACUAUUAAGUCAGGGGUGAAAUCCCGGGGCUCAACCCCGGAACUGCCUUUGAUACUGGUAGUCUUGAGUUCGAGAGAGGUGAGUGGAAUUCCGGGUGUAGAGGUGAAAUUCGUAGAUAUUCGGAGGAACACCAGUGGCGAAGGCGGCUCACUGGCUCGAUACUGACGCUGAGGUGCGAAAGCGUGGGGAGCAAACAGGAUUAGAUACCCGGGUAGUCCCAUGA
rnacentral:rRNA from 1 species